rnacentral:rRNA from 1 species
GAUGAACGCUGGCGGCACGCUUAACACAUGCAAGUCGAGCGGUAACAUGGUUAGUAGCAAUACUAAUUGAUGACGAGCGGCGGACGGGUGAGUAACACGUAGGAACCUGCCCAGAAGCGGGGGACAACCAAGGGAAACUUUGGCUAAUACCGCGUAAUCUCGGGAGAGUAAAGCUGCCCGCAAGGGUGGCGCUUCUGGAGGGGCCUGCGUCCGAUUAGCUAGUUGGUGAGGUAAUGGCUCACCAAGGCUGUGAUCGGUAACUGGUCUGAGAGGACGACCAGUCACACUGGGACUGAGACACGGCCCAGACUCCUACGGGAGGCAGCAGUGGGGAAUCUUGGACAAUGGGGGCAACCCUGAUCCAGCGAUGCCGCGUGGGUGAAGAAGGCCUUCGGGUUGUAAAGCCCUUUAGGUUGGGAAGAAGUUCAUAGGCUGAAUAAUCUUAUGAUUGACGGUACCAACAGAAUAAGCACCGGCAAACUCUGUGCCAGCAGCCGCGGUAA